rnacentral:rRNA from 1 species
AAAGGAAUAGACGGGACCCCGCACAAGCGGUGGAUCAUGUUGUUUAAUUCGAAGAUACGCGAAGAACCUUACCAGGUCUUGACAUAUUCUGCGAAGCAUUGGAAACAAAUGCGGAGGCAAACAGAAAUACAGGUGGUGCACGGUUGUCGUCAGCUCGUGUCGUGAGAUGUUGGGUUAAGUCCCGCAACGAGCGCAACCCCUGUUGCUAGUUACCAUCAUUAAGUUGGGGACUCUAGCGAGACUGCCAGUGAUAAACUGGAGGAAGGUGGGGAUGACGUCAAAUCAUCAUGCCCCUUAUGACCUGGGCUACAAACGUGAUACAAUGGCUGAAACAAAGAGCAGCGAAAGGGUGACCUGGAGCCAACCUCAUAAAAACAGUCUCAGUUCGGAUUGAAGUCUGCAACUCGACUUCAUGAAGCAGGAAUCGCUAGUAAUCGCGAAUCAGAACGUCGCGGUGAAUACGUUCUCGGGGUUUGUACACACCGCCCGU